rnacentral:rRNA from 1 species
UGGGUGUGUAAGUGCAGCGAUGCAUUGAGCUAACCAGUACUAAUGAUCCGUGAGGCUUAACCUUACAACACCGAAGGUGUU